rnacentral:rRNA from 1 species
UACGUAGGGGGCAAGCGUCGUCCGGAUUUAUUGGGCGUAAAGAGCGUGUAGGCGGCCAAGCAGGUCAGCUGUGAAAACUCGAGGCUCAACCUCGAGACGUCGGUUGAAACCGCUUGGCUAGAGUCCGGAAGAGGAGAGUGGAAUUCCCGGUGUAGCGGUGAAAUGCGCAGAUAUCGGGAAGAACACCCGUGGCGAAGGCGACCACCUGGACUGAUACUGACACUGAGGUGCGAAAGCGUGGGGAGCAAACAGG